UCAUUAAGAAGCUAUGAACCAGCAUUAGCCUUUUAAGCUAAAGAAAGAGGGGCCCCUCCCCUCCUUAAUGAU
rnacentral:tRNA from 1 species